rnacentral:rRNA from 1 species
UACAGAGGUGCCAAGCGUUAGGCGGAAUCACUGGGCUUAAAGCGCGCGUAGGCGGACGUUUAAGUGUCUUGUGAAAUCCCACGGCUACAACCGUGGAACUGCUGGGCUACUGGACGUCUUGAGGCACUCAGGGCGAGCGGAACAGUGGUGGAGCGGUAGAAAUGCGUAGAUAUCACUUGGAACGCCAAUGGUGAAGACGAGCUCGCUGGGGAUGUCCUGACGCUGAGG